rnacentral:rRNA from 1 species
UGGGCGCAGCCUGAUGCAGCCUGCCGCGUGUGUGAAGAAGGCCUUCGGGUUGUAAAGCACUUUUAUCAGGGAACGAAAGUCCUGGGGCUAAUACCCUGUGGGGAUGACGGUACCUGAGGAAUAAGCACCGGCUAACUUCGUGCCAGCAGCCGCGGUAAUA